rnacentral:tRNA from 1 species
GGGCGAUUAGCUCAGUUGGUUAGAGCGUUGCGUUCACAUCGCAAAAGUCGGAGGUUCGAGUCCUCUAUCGCCCACCA